rnacentral:tRNA from 1 species
GCCAGUGUGCUCAGUGGUUAGAGCAUUGGCCUAAGGACCAAAGGGUCAUGGGUUCCAUUCCCUCUCAAGGGCA